rnacentral:pre_miRNA from 1 species
GUACACUUGUUGGAGAAGCAGGGCACGUGCAUGUAAAACUGCGAAUGAAUACGAUACUUGGGCUCCUUCCUUCGCACUGCACGUGCUCCACUUCUCCGACGUGGGUUC